CUUCGGGGACAUUGGUGACAGGUGGUGCAUGGUUGUCGUCAGCUCGUGUCGUGAGAUGUUGGGUUAAGUCCCGCAACGAGCUCAACACUUGUCUUUAGUUGCCAUCAUUAAGUUGGGCACUCUAGAGAGACUGCCAGGGAUAACCUGGAGGAAGGUGGGGAUGACGUCAAAUCAUCAUGCCCCUUAUGCUUAGGGCUACACACGUGCUACAAUGGGUAGUACAGAGGGUUGCCAAGCCGUAAGGUGGAGCUAAUCCCUUAAAGCUACUCUCAGUUCGGAUUGUAGGCUGAAACUCGCCUACAUGAAGCUGGAGUUACUAGUAAUCGCAGAUCAGAAUGCUGCGGUGAAUGCGUUCCCGGGUCUUGUACACACCGCCCGUCACACCACGGGAGUUGGAGACGCCCGAAGCCGAUUAUCUAACCUUUUGGAAGAAGUCGUCGAAGGUGGAAUCAAUAACUGGGGUGAAGUCGUAACAAGGUAGCCGUAUCGGAAGGUGCGGCUGGAUCACCUCCUUUCUAAGGA
rnacentral:rRNA from 1 species